rnacentral:rRNA from 1 species
CCAUCAUUAAGUUGGGCACUCUAAGUUGACUGCCGGUGACAAACCGGAGGAAGGUGGGGAUGACGUCAAAUCAUCAUGCCCCUUAUGAUUUGGGCUACACACGUGCUACAAUGGACAAUACAAAGGGCAGCGAAACCGCGAGGUCAAGCAAAUCCCAUAAAGUUGUUCUCAGUUCGGAUUGUAGUCUGCAACUCGACUACAUGAAGCUGGAAUCGCUAGUAAUCGUAGAUCAGCAUGCUACGGUGAAUACGUUCCCGGGUCUUGUACACACCGCCCGUCACACCACGAGAGUUUGUAACACCCGAAGCCGGUGGAGUAACCUUUUAGGAGCUAGCCGUCGAAGGUGGGACAAAUGAUUGGGGUGAAGUCGUAACAAGGUAGCCGUAUCGGAAGGUGCGGCUGGAUCACCUCCUUU